UACGGAGGAUCCGAGCGUUAUCCGGAUUUAUUGGGUUUAAAGGGAGCGUAGAUGGAUAUUUAAGUCAGUUGUGAAAGUUUGCGGCUCAACCGUAAAAUUGCAGUUGAUACUGGAUAUCUUGAGUGCAGUUGAGGCAGGCGGAAUUCGUGGUGUAGCGGUGAAAUGCUUAGAUAUCACGAAGAACUCCGAUUGCGAAGGCAGCCUGCUAAGCUGCAACUGACAUUGAGGCUCGAAAGUGUGGGUAUCAAACAGG
rnacentral:rRNA from 1 species